UGAUAAUAGAUGUGUAAAGGUGUCGGUGUAAUAAGUUGUAACGUUUUUAAAUAGGUCGGGAUUGUAUAACACAUCCGAACACGUCCCACAUUCACACAUCAUUCGAAUAUUAGAAAGACUCAAGACUUUUAGUACUUUUUGUAGUCUUUUGGACAAACUACCUGUCCCAUAAAGCAACGCAGGCUCGUCUGGAUAAAUUAGAGACCGCCAUCUCAUCCGGGUAUUUAGGCCGUAGCGGCGGGUACACGUUUGUUAUGCUCAGUGGUUUGAUCGUGACAAUCCUAGUGGAUUAGGAGAUUAUGAAACACUGGCCAACCUGAGAGAAGAAUAUCUACAUGAGCUCUGCCACAAGCCUUUAGCCAUUGAUGCUCAGACUAUGGAUGAUGUUCCAGCCUCACGCACUGGACAAGUGUUUCAAUAGUGCAGGGCUUCGCCUGUGUGAAUUCUCAGCAGGAUGAAGGACCGUGUCUAGAUUACAAGGUGCGUUUUGGGCCUCCGGCUCCGACCGACGUGAUGCCUCAGUAAACCCCUUUUUACCUGUCUGUUUUUUCAGUCAUCUUAUCACCGCCUUCUGUAUUCCUAUUGCUUCAUGUCUCUUUUUAAUAACUCAAAUGUGUAUGAGAACAUGUGCUCCAGAUCAUCUACAGAAUCAGUCACUUGUGUUUGAGGUGUUUUUGAUCGAUUAAUCGCAUGAACAAUUUGUAUGCACUCUAAUGAGAAACUGAUGACUGUAAUAAAAAUAAUUACCUUCAGUCCUGCUUGUCCGAUUCUUGAUCUGUGCUCCAAAGGAGUCAUGCCAGUUUUGUGGGUUUUUAUUAAUUUAUAGAAAUUAACUGCAUGUCCCAGAUGCUGUAGUUCGUCUACUGUAAACCAAGCAGUAGAAGGAACUUUGAUUCUCAAACCAUCCUACAAACAUACAAUACUCACCGACUUGUGUUAAAUCGUUAGU